UGGCAAACCUGUAGCAACAAUAUGUAUUGCCACUAGUGGCAAACAGUUGGUUUACCAGAAGUUGUUUCUGAUUAAUACAUGAGUUCCAAGACCAGUAACCGUUGAUGACCAGUCAGGGGGAGAAGAAAAAUCUAUUGGAAAUGGAAACCACGGGAUCUAGGCUACCUACGAAGGUUGUCUGGCGGUGACUAUGGAUACCCUUCCGCUACCCGUGGUGUUGGAAGAGGCUGCAUUGGGAAGAGAAGUUUGUGGUGCACUCACUCAUAACUUUUUUUUUGUGAUAAAUGAGUGUAUGGUCUUAAAGCUUGUUAAGAAGCAAUCACUUACCAGGCAAAAAGACAGAUUGAGGCCUUCAAUCAAACUGAGGACAGAGAAAUGUGCAUGCUCCAGUGCAUGCAUUCAACAAGCUUUGGAUGAAGAACUUCUACAGGGCUGCCAUCUCCAAAGUUCACUCAAUACGGCAAUAGUUCUGAAUUGGGUUUGAUUUUUGAAUUUUGUUGUUUUAAUCAUUUCAUGUUGUUCAUUCUCUUUUAAACUUCCAUUGGUUUAAAGCUCAUUGCUCAGUUAUCAUUUGGCUCAUGUAAAUUCUGAAGUUGCCCAUUUAAACAUCCUAAGGUUAACGUCCCCAUAGUGUUCACAUUUUUCUCAUGUAAAUGUUGUAGCUACAUAAAAAGAUAAAACAAACAA